rnacentral:rRNA from 1 species
GACAGAGGGGGCAAGCGUUGCUCGGAAUCACUGGGCGUAAAGCGCACGUAGGCGGAUCUUUAAGUCAGGGGUGAAAUCCCGAGGCUCAACCUCGGAACUGCCUUUGAUACUGGGGAUCUCGAGUCCGGGAGAGGUGAGUGGAACUGCGAGUGUAGAGGUGAAAUUCGUAGAUAUUCGCAAGAACACCAGUGGCGAAGGCGGCUCACUGGCCCGGAACUGACGCUGAGGUGCGAAAGCGUGGGGAGCAAACAGG